UACUGGGCGUAAAGCGUGCGCAGGCGGUUAUGCAAGACAGAGGUGAAAUCCCCGGGCUCAACCUGGGAACUGCCUUUGUGACUGCAUGGCUAGAGUACGGUAGAGGGGGAUGGAAUUCCGCGUGUAGCAGUGAAAUGCGUAGAUAUGCGGAGGAACACCGAUGGCGAAGGCAAUCCCCUGGACCUGUACUGACGCUCAUGCACGAAAGCGUGGGGAGCAAACAGGAUUAGAUACCCUGGUAGUCCACGCCCUAAACGAUGUCAACUGGUUGUUGGGAGGGUUUCUUCUCAGUAACGUAGCUAACGCGUGAAGUUGACCGCCUGGGGAGUACGGCCGCCAAGGUUGAAACUCAAAGGAAUG
rnacentral:rRNA from 1 species